rnacentral:rRNA from 1 species
GAUGAACGCUGGCGGCGUGCCUAAUACAUGCAAGUCGAGCGAACGGACGAGAAGCUUGCUUUUCUGAUGUUAGCGGCGGACGGGUGAGUAACACGUGGAUAACCUACCUAUAAGACUGGGAUAACUUCGGGAAACCGGAGCUAAUACCGGAUAAUAUUUUGAACCGCAUGGUUCAACAGUGAAAGACGGUCUUGCUGUCACUUAUAGAUGGAUCCGCGCUGCAUUAGCUAGUUGGUAAGGUAACGGCUUACCAAGGCAACGAUGCAUAGCCGACCUGAGAGGGUGAUCGGCCACACUGGAACUGAGACACGGUCCAGACUCCUACGGGAGGCAGCAGUAGGGAAUCCUCCGCAAUGGGCGAAAGCCUGACGGAGCAACGCCGCGUGAGUGAUGAAGGUCUUCGGAUCGUAAAACUCUGUUAUUAGGGAAGAACAUAUGUGUAAGUAACUGUGCCCAUCUUGACGGUACCUAAUCAGAAAGCCACGGCUAACUACGUG